GGAGGAGUGUCCGAGUGGUUAAAGGAGACGGACUGUAAAUCCGUUGGCUAAGCCUACGCUGGUUCGAAUCCAGCCUCCUCCACCA
rnacentral:tRNA from 2 species